UACGUAGGGGGCUAGCGUUGUCCGGAAUCAUUGGGCGUAAAGAGCGUGUAGGCGGUCCGGUAAGUCCGCUGUGAAAGUCGGGGGCUCAACCUCGAAUGCCGGUGGAUACUGUCGGGCUAGAGUGCGGAAGAGGCGAGUGGAAUUCCCGGUGUAGCGGUGAAAUGCGCAGGAUAAUCGGGAGGAACACCUAUGGCGAAGGCAGCUCGCUGGGACGUUAACUGACGCUGGAGACGCGAAAGCGUGGGGAG
rnacentral:rRNA from 1 species